rnacentral:rRNA from 1 species
CAUUACUGAGUUUACGCUCUACAACCCUUUGUGAACAUACCUACAACUGUUGCUUCGGCGGGUAGGGUCUCCGCGACCCUCCCGGCCUCCCGCCUCCGGGCGGGUCGGCGCCCGCCGGAGGAUAACCAAACUCUGAUUUAACGACGUUUCUUCUGAGUGGUACAAGCAAAUAAUCAAAACUUUUAACAACGGAUCUCUUGGUUCUGGCAUCGAUGAAGAACGCAGCGAAAUGCGAUAAGUAAUGUGAAUUGCAGAAUUCAGUGAAUCAUCGAAUCUUUGAACGCACAUUGCGCCCGCCAGCAUUCUGGCGGGCAUGCCUGUUCGAGCGUCAUUUCAACCCUCAAGCUCUGCUUGGUGUUGGGGCCCUACAGCCGAUGUAGGCCCUCAAAGGUAGUGGCGGACCCUCCCGGAGCCUCCUUUGCGUAGUAACUUUACGUCUCGCACUGGGAUCCGGAGGGACUCUUGCCGUAAAACCCCCCAAUUUUCCAAAGGUUGACCUCGGAUCAGGUAGGAAUACCCGCUGAACUUAAGCAUAUCAAUAAAGCG